AUGUCUAAGUAUAAACGAUUUUAUCGUGAAACCGCGAACGGCUCAUUAAACCAGCUAUAAUCUACUUGAUCUUGACGUAUCUUACUUGGAUAACUGUGGUAAUUCUAGAGCUAAUACAUGCACCAAAGCUCUGACCUUGCGGGAAGAGUGCAUUUAUUAGAGCAAAACCAAGCGGCUUCGGUCGUUUUUUGCUGACUCAGAAUAACUCAGCUGAUCGCACGGUCUUUGAACCGGCGACGUGUCUUUUGAGUAUCUGCCUUAUCAAUUUUCGAUGGUAGUGUAUCUGACUACCAUGGUGUUGACGGGUAACGGAGAAUAAGGGUUCGACUCCGGAGAAGGGGCCUGAGAAAUGGCCACUACGUCUAAGGAUGGCAGCAGGCGCGCAAAUUACCCACUCUCGGAAUGAGGAGGUAGUGACGAGAAAUAACGAGACCGUUCUCUAUGAGGCCGGUUAUCGGAAUGGGUACAAUUUAAACCCUUUAACGAGUAUCUAUGAGAGGGCAAGUCUGGUGCCAGCAGCCGCGGUAAUUCCAGCUCUCAAAAUGCAUAGAACCAUUGCUGCGGUUAAAAAGCUCGUAGUUGAAUCUAUGCCUGAGGCUUGGUCCACUCAUUGAGUUGGCACUAAGUUCUUUGGCUUUUUUCGUCGGUUUUCUUGUCGUGGCCUUUAUUGGUGGCGGCAAGUGGCUGACAAUUUUACUUUGAACAAAUCAGAGUGCUCAAAACAGGCGUUUCGCUUGUAUGCUUUUGCAUGGAAUAAUAGAAUAUGACUUCGGUCUAGUUUUAUUGGUUUUAUAGAUCGUUGUAAUGAUUAAAAGAGACAAACGGGGGCAUUCGUAUUGUUGCGUGAGAGGUGAAAUUCUUGGACCGCAGCAAGACGACCUACAGCGAAAGCAUUUGCCAAGCUUGUCUUCAUUAAUCAAGAACGAAAGUCAGAGGAUCGAAGGUGAUCAGAUACCGCCCUAGUUCUGACCGUAAACGAUGCCAACUAGCGAUUCGCCGGCGGAAUUUUUUGCCCUGGUGAGGAGCUUCCCGGAAACGAAAGUCUUCCGGUUCCGGGGGAAGUAUGGUUGCAAAGCUGAAACUUAAAGGAAUUGACGGAAGGGCACCACCAGGAGUGGAGCCUGCGGCUUAAUUUGACUCAACACGGGAAAACUCACCCGGCCCGGACACUAUAAGGAUUGACAGAUUGAUAGCUCUUUCAUGAUUUGGUGGAUGGUGGUGCAUGGCCGUUCUUAGUUCGUGGAGUGAUUUGUCUGGUUUAUUCCGAUAACGAGCGAGACUCUAGCCUACUAAAUAGUUCACUCAUUGCUUUGUGUAGUGUGACUUCCUAGAGGAAUUUUCGGUUUUCAGCCGCAUGAAAUUGAGCAAUAACAGGUCUGUGAUGCCCUUAGAUGUCCGGGGCUGCACGCGCGCUACACUGGUAAAGUCAGCGUGCGUUUCCUUUCUCGAAAGAGAUUGGUAAACCAUUGAAAGUUUGCCGUGAUUGGGAUCGGAAAUUGCAAUUAUUUUCUGUGAACGAGGAAUUCCAAGUAAGUGUGAGUCAUCAACUCGCGCUGAUUACGUCCCUGCCCUUUGUACACACCGCCCGUCGCUGCCCGGGACUGAGCCAUUUCGAGAAAUUUGGGGAUUGCUAACUGACGGUCUUUCGGGAUUGUCUUUCGGCGAGAACCAGCUUAAUCGUAGUGGCUUGAACCGGGCAAAAGUCGUAACAAGGUGGCUGUAGGUGAACCUGCUGCCGGAUCAUUAUCGAUAAUAUAAAAUAAAAUAAUACGCUAAUCAAAUCGAAUACGAUAUGAUCGAAAUUGAACGAGUAAUUUGUAAUGAUGCAUGUAACAAUUCUAUGUUUGCUUUCGCUGUUCGUCUUCGUUGGAUGGUUGUUUUGAAGUGUUGGCUCGGGCUCUAGCCUCUUUUUAUUUGAUUGCUGCUGCAAUAACGUGUUCGUGUCGUUGGCAAUAUUCUAAGUUGUGUCUCAAGUGAAAGCUUGUCGUUGAUUUCUAGACAAGGUAAUGCUAUGCUCUGGACACCACGACUUGAUUUUUGUCGUUAAGUGAAUGUUGCCCGCAUGAAAUUAGAGUAGCGUUGUUGUGGUCGUCAUUUUGAGCAUUGAUUUUUUUCCAGCUGACCGCCAACCGACUUGAGGACGUAUGAGAUUUUCCAGGCGUUAGCAACGUUUGAACGAAUAUUUGAAUUGUUGAUUCAUAUAUGCACAACGAAUGUAAUGAAUAUAAAUAAAUGAAUGAACAACGGCUUAUGUUGGUUUCUGUGCGCCACCGAGCAAUUGUCAGCGCGUAUAAUACGUGCUGGUGUCCGUGAUUGUGUUGAAGUGGUGCGAGACGCGAGUGCACAUGCUAUGGCCGUGGUCAUCACGGUCGUGGUGUGUGUUCGGCGCGAGAAUCAAUGAGCGCUGGAUUGGCGCCGCCAACAACAUACAUUGAUUUUAAUUGAUUUUUGUUAAUAUAAAAAAUACGCAGCCUUACCGAUGGAUCACUCGGUUCGUAGUUUGAUGAAGAACGCAGCUAACUGCGAUAAUUAAUACAAUCUGCAGAAACUUUGAGUAUUAAAUUGUCGAAUGCACAUUGCGCCAUCGGAGUCACAUCCUUUGGCACGUCUGGCUCAGGGGCUUUAAUACUACACAAACUUGAUUUUGGUUUGGUAGAGUCGUAAGCGCUUAGCUGUUAGCGUGCGCCCGAUUUUGCGCGCUUAGCUUUAGUGCUUAUGGCCCGUAUGGCUUGGGCAACGAGUUGGCCAUUAGAUUUUUGGCUGGACUUGUUGCUUUUGCCUAAUGGUUGCUAUGCUUUGUCGAAGGCUUUCGUGUGUUUGCUGAUUUCGCAUUCACCGCGACUGCCAACUGAUUUCUUUCGACGAUAGCCCCGAUGUGUUUGCGUGUGUGGUGUGUGGAUAGACCGGUGUUGUGAUCGGUCGUGUGUGGCUUAAUGAUUUUUAGCGUGUCGACCCGACUGCUGAUGUUAUGUUAACGGUUUGAUUUUUGUUUUCACCGACGUCAGUGGUCCAAGCAUGACUUUUGCUUGGUAGCCAAAUGCCUCGUCUGAUGAGUUCCGACGCGGGUGUUUUGGCUAUGUUUGGUUUGCAUGCAAUGUCACCCACGAUUGUGUCGCGCUAGCCUCGUUUUAAACGUCGGUUUUCGUCUUGCAUACUGCCCGCAUUCAGCAUUAUUAUUUUAAUUUUUUAAUAAUGCCCUGAGCUCAGGCGUAAUUACCCGCUGAACUUAAGCAUAUAAUCUCUAGAGGCUCCCCGG
rnacentral:rRNA from 1 species